rnacentral:rRNA from 1 species
AAGGAAGCGAAUAAGGGCGUACGGGGGAUGCCUAGGCUCUCAGAGGCGACGAAGGACGUGGUAAGCUGCGAAAAGCUGUGGGGAGAUGCAAGCGAUCGGUGAUCCACAGAUGUCCGAAUGGGGAAACCUGCCAUGUUGAAGACGUGGCGUGAGAACGCGAACGCAGGGAACUGAAACAUCUAAGUACCUGCAGGAAAAGAGAACGAAGUUGAUUCCCUGAGUAGUGGCGAGCGAAAGGGGAGAAGCCCAUUAAGCUAUAUGGUUUGUAGUGGAACAGUCUGGGAAGGCUGGCCGCAGAAGGUGAGAGUCCUGUACACGGUAUGGACUGUAUAGUGAAUUGAGUAGGGCGGGACCGGUGAAAUCCUGUCUGAAUAUGCCGGCACCAUCCGGUAAGGCUAAAUACUCCUGAGAGACCGAUAGUGCACCAGUACCGUGAGGGAAAGGUGAAAAGAACCGCAAGCAGCGGAGUGAAAAGACCCUGAAACCGUACGUCUACAAGCGGUCGGACCAGAGUGAUCUGGAACGGCGUGCCUUUUGCAUAAUGAGCCUACGAGUUACACCUGUCUAGCGAGUUUAAGUACUUAAGGUACGGAGGCGAAGCGAAAGCGAGUCUGAAUAGGGCGAGAGCUAGAUGGGGUAGACGCGAAACCGAGUGAUCUACCCAUGUGCAGGUUGAAGUCCCGGUAGUCCCGGGAUGGAGGACCGAACCGGUAAACGUUGAAAAGUUUUCGGAUGACGUGUGGGUAGGGGUGAAAGGCUAAUCAAACUCGGAGAUAGCUCGUACUCCCCGAAAUGCAUUUAGGUGCAGCGUUGGGAAGAGUAUCACGGAGGUAGAGCUACCAAUAGGGCUAGGGGGCUUCACCGCCUACCAACCCCUGAUGAACUCCGAAUGCCGUGAUAUUGCACCAGCAGUGAGGCUACGGGUGCGAAGGUCCGUGGCCGAGAGGGGAACAACCCAGACCAUCAGCUAAGGUCCCUAAAUAGGAGUUAAGUUGGAUAAACGAGGUGGGGAUGCUAUGACAGCUAGGAUGUUUGCUUGGAAGCAGCAAUUCAUUUAAAGAGUGCGUAACAGCUCACUAGUCGAGCGUUCCUGCGCGGAAAAUGAUCGGGCAUCAAACUUCUUACCGAAGCUAUGGACUCCGCUUUAGGGCGGAUUGGUAGGGGAGCAUUCUACUUGCGGUGAAGGUGUUCUGUAAGGGAUGCUGGAGCGAGUAGAAAAGAAAAUGUAGGCAUGAGUAACGAAAAAAAGGGUGAGAUACCCUUUCGCCGUAAGACUAAGGGUUCCUUGUUCGAUGCUAAUCAGAACAGGGUUAGCCGGGACCUAAGGAGAAGCCGAGAGGCGAAUCUAAUGGAAAGCGGGUUAAAAUUCCUGCGCCUGCGUACACUAAAAAGGGGACGGAGGUAUGUAGUGUCUAGGUACUGACGGAAAAGUGCGUUGAGAGGAAGCUUAGGCGGACUCGAAGACAUGAGUUACCUUCCAAGAAAAGCCGAAGUACGCAGCCCGUACCGCAAACCGACACAGGUAGUCGAGGAGAGUAUCCUAAGGCGCUCGAGUGAUCCACGGUUAAGGAACUAGGCAAAUUAGCCCCGUAACUUCGGGAGAAGGGGCUCCCACCGCGAGGUGGGACGCAGUGAAGAGGCCCAGGCGACUGUUUAACAAAAACACAGGACUCUGCGAAAUCGAAAGAUGAAGUAUAGGGUCUGACACCUGCCCGGUGCCGGAAGGUUAAGGAAGGGAGUUAGCUUCGGCGACGCUCUUGACUGAAGCCCCGGUAAACGGCGGCCGUAACUAUAACGGUCCUAAGGUAGCGAAAUUCCUUGUCGGGUAAGUUCCGACCUGCACGAAUGGUGUAACGAUCUGGGCACUGUCUCAACCGUGAGCUCGGUGAAAUUGAAGUAUCGGUGAAGAUACCGGUUACCCGCAACGGGACGGAAAGACCCCGUGAACCUUUACUAUAGCUUCACAUUGGUCUUGAGUAUAGGAUGUGUAGGAUAGGUGGGAGGCGAUGAAGUUGCGACGCUAGUUGUGGUGGAGCCGUCCUUGAAAUACCACCCUUCUUAUACUUAGGUUCUAAUCCCGAUUUAUCGGGAGACAGUGUGUGGUGGGUAGUUUGACUGGGGUGGUCGCCUCCGAAAGAGUAACGGAGGCUUGCAAAGGUACCCUCAGCAUGGUUGGUAACCAUGCGAAGAGCGCAUGAGUAUAAGGGUGCUUGACUGCGAGACGGACGCGUCGAACAGGGACGAAAGUCGGCUCAAGUGAUCCGGUGGUUCCGCAUGGAAGGGCCAUCGCUCAAAGGAUAAAAGGUACUCCGGGGAUAACAGGCUGAUCUCCCCAAGAGCUCACAUCGACGGGGAGGUUUGGCACCUCGAUGUCGGCUCGUCGCAUCCUGGGGCUGGAGAAGGUCCCAAGGGUUGGGCUGUUCGCCCAUUAAAGCGGCACGCGAGCUGGGUUCAGAACGUCGCAAGACAGUUCGGUCCCUAUCUGUUGCGGGCGUUGGAGUAUUGAGGAGAUCUGACUCUAGUACGAGAGGACCGGGUUGGACGUACCGCUUGUGUACCAGUUGUACCGCCAGGUGCACCGCUGGGUAGCUAUGUACGGAAUGGAUAAGCACUGAAAGCAUCUAAGUGCGAAGCCAACUCCAAGAUGAGUACUCCUUGAGGGUUGUGGGAGAUGACCACGUUGAUAGGCUACAGGUGGAAGCGCAGUGAUGUGUGGAGCCGAGUAGUACUAAUUACCCGAAAGCUUCCUAAA